ensembl:lncRNA
AGGUCAGCUGUGUCAGUGAUCCUGCAGGGCGGGUCUACGCGGUGUAUCCGGCCCAUUGCUGUCACAACAUGGUUCGUUGUCCAAGCGACAGAAGUUUUGAUCGGGCUUUUCUGCAAAAUGGAAAGGAAAAACCAAACAGGCCUGGAAUCCAUGAGGGAAGAUGGCCACCUGCAUGAAACCUUGAAGGCUGGUCAAUCUUUGGGCCAGUCAGACAACAAAUCACGUGGCGCCACAUUACCUCAUAUCAGAGGUGAGACAUAUGGCCAAUGAAAGAAUUGGCCAUCUGGAGCAUCAGGUGGGCUGUUUGAUAAUUGGGGCGAAUGCAAAACACAAAAUAUGGACAAUACAUACCUUGAUUGAUGUAGUCUCCUGCUGCUCUGAAUUUCUGAACAUUCUCCAUAUUCCUGCUAUAAUCUGACAUGUGUGAAUGAAUGCAGAUGGUGAACUGAUGGGUGUCUCUUUCUUUUCAGGGAUUCUACAACAGAAACCUCAUCAUGGCCUGUACAAUCAGGGAGCCACAUGUUACCUCAACAGUGUCCUGCAAGUUCUCUUCAUGACAACAGAGAUCCAUGACAGGUUGGAACCAAAAAUGCGCUUCACAGAUCAGGAGCUGAUGAAAAUCUUCGGACAACUGAAAAAAACAACAUGUGACACCAAAGGACUCACUUUCUCUUUGAGAAUUGGAAAUGGUAAGUUGAGCAGCGAUCAACAGUAAAACAUUGCACAUGAAGGAAGGUCACAUAGCAGCUGUUUUAGUGGAAUUAGUGUUCUGGAUUAAAUUUCAUGAAUGAAUUCCAUGAAUUUCACUCUGCAGUUAAUCAACUGUGGGAUGCUGCUGAAUGCCUGGAGAUGAUUUUACAUGAGGUCAGCCCAAGGGCCUCUGAGGUGAGCGCUUAUAAUAUCUACGGUGUUAUUUACAGGGGGACAAAUCGGAAUGCUUUGUAAUGAAAGACAUUUUAAUGUACAGGUUUUCCAAGGACAGCUGACAUACACAAUAAAAUGCCCCAAAGGCCACACCAUCAAUGAAGAGACAAAUCCGUUCUGGACUCUUCCACUGUCACUGAAAGAUACCGAUGAUUCAACCUACAGUGUGGUGAGCAGAGAAAUCUCAGAGAUUUGUAGAUUAAUGUUUCAGUAUAGUGUGUUAUUGUGAAUCGAUGAGACGUGGAGGAAAACAACAUGGUCCUUAGAAAAUCGCACACUGGUAAAGUUAAAAGCAAGGUCCUUUAUAAUCAUUUUAUAUUACAAAUGUGUGUACCAACUGUUUUGCUCACCUUCAGACUGAGUUCAUUUUUUUGUUAUUUUCUGGAACAUAUUGAAGAUGAUUUGUUUUGUAUUUUGUUUGUGUGGUGUUGUUUUUUUGUUUUCAAUCUCUGACUGGGUUUCAUUUAUUCCACGACUGUAAAAACCACUACUGGCCCUAAGAUGGAAAAAAUGCUGUUAGUAAGCUGAACACACCUUAAAUACAGUUGUGAAGUGUUUGGUGGAAGCAACUUAAGAAAAGAAUAAGAUCAUAAAUCAGUCAGAUGGUCUUGGGUUGCCAGGUUGUGGAACAUGUUUGCUUGUCCUUUCAGCUAGCUUUUCGACUCAUUACAGACGCCCCUCUUAUGUACUGGAAAAGAGCAGCAGAAUAUCUGUACCUAAUUUAAUGUAUAAAGUGCUUAUCAAUAAUUUUAACUGCCUACUUAUUAUGGUACAAUCUCAGAACCUGCUGGUAAGUUUUGCAGUGAUAAAUAAAUCAUUG